AACCAACUUUAAAUAAAUAAAUGCUAUUGAAUCUUCAAUCCAAACCAGACUAAAGCCUGAAACCAGACAAACGUCUAAAGUCUGAAACCAGACAAACGUCUAAAGUCUGGUUGGUAGAACCAACUUUUGGGGAAGUAGUUUUUGGGACUAUAUUUGCCUGCGCACCCACAGAGAGAGCAUGGCAUUGAAAUGUCUGUAGAGAGUUCGGUUGGUUCUCUCAUUUAUUCCUGGAAAAGGAUACUAUGAUUACAGCUUCUGAUCACUCAAAGACGCAACUGGUUAUCAACCUAUACCUACUGCCCCACACUGAUCUAUCAAGUCACAUUCAAGAAACUAUACCAUAUUAUUCCAUCACUGGUCUAUCAAACCAUCUCAAAGAAAAUAAAGAAUCAAGAAGUGAAAAGA